rnacentral:lncRNA from 1 species
GUCCAUGUUCUCUCUGACCACGCGACCAGGUAGCUCCGCAUCAUGUGCGACCCCAAGAAUGGGAGGUCACCUAUCCUCCACGUGUGUGCAACCUGUCAAGGCGCGUCCUGCCGUCACGUCUAACUAAGAAGAGAAACAUGUAAAAAUAAAAAUAAGCUUAAAAAAAAGAACUUGCCAGAGAUCGCUCAGCUGGAAGUAGAAAAGGGGGCAGAUUGGCCCCCACAUCCUGCUCCUCACUCCUCUCCGCGCAGCUGACCUCGAGAAGGCCCGAGGCUGAGCCAGACCUUGGAGGACAAGCCACAGACAGAGGUGCCUGGGGAGGAAGCAGGGCCACAGACUGCCCCUCACUCCCUCCCCAACAGCCGGCCCAGGGCCUCUCCACCCCCGCCCCUCAGACACCACCUGUCCUCACGCACCGGCCAGCCUCCAUCGGACCCUCGCUUCCCCCAAUUCUCCUCUUCCCCAUGCCAGAGACCGUCCUGGGCAACAGCUGGCUUGGCUUGGGAGUGACCAGAGAGGGUGGUGCUGGAGCAGGGUUUUGAAGGGCCCAUAGGAGUUCACCAGGAGGAGAGAGCGUGGGAGUCAAGGGUGACCAUACAGUUGUCACCUACACUCUCAGCAUUCUGGGAAUCUCUGUGCCUCGGUUUCCUCAUCUGUAGCAUGGGAUUAAGGAGUACCUACUAGUCUCUCAGGGUUUUUGUUGUUGUUUGUUUGUUUUUUGUUUGGUACUAGAGAUUGAACCAAAGAUGCUUAACCACUGAGCCACCUCUCCAGCCCUUUUUUAUAUUUUGAGACAAGGUCUCGCUGAGUUGCUUAGGGCCUCACUAAGUUGCUGAGGCUGGCUCUGAACCUGCGAUCCUCCUGCCUCCACCUCCCGAGCCCCACCUCCCCUCCAGGCGUGCACCACGGCACAGGGCUUCUCCAGUUUUUGUAAGGACUAAACAAGCAGCUGCGGUCACCUGACCCAGUGUUCCUGCAGAGCUUGCCCCGCGCCAGCCACUGCUCUAAGCGCCUCACACCUAUUAAAAGUGGUCACACCCGCUCGGCACAGGCUGCAUGCAAUACACCUGGCUUUGCCACUGUGAAACCCUCACUGUCACGGCUGCACACCUGCUCUGAGUCCGUCACAGUGCAGACACAUCACUCUGCCCACCCUGUGGGUCCCUAUCCUCACAGAUCUCUGCAGUGACCAUCACGAUGACCAUUUUACAGAAGAGAAAGCCACAGCUCAAGGGGCUUCCCCAAGAGGACCCAGGAAGACCUGGCUGCACCAGUGGGGACCCAGGUCCAGCCAUGCCCUUCUUGCCACGGCCAGUGACAAUCAAAUCAGUGUUUCCAGCAAGACACGAUAGAGCUCUGGACCUGCCGGAGCCUUGACGACGUGGCAGCAGAGGGGUGAGUGAAUCCAGUGUCCUUCGAAGUUGGAGGCAUCGUGGCCAACCACCCCUCCCACCCAGGACGGAUGUGAACAGGAAGCAAGGUCCAGGGUUCCCGCAAGGCGCUUCACCACAGGACACAUGUGCACUUGCGAAAGGCCACCUCGUGAGUGUCCCUGGAGGAGGGAACAGCUGGGGUCAUAGCAGCGUCAUGUGGGCGAUUUCAUCAGAGCUGAUCCUGAGAGUCAGCUUUCCUAGGAGGGGAGGGAACAGGGCCCAGGAAGGUGCUGACCACGUGGAAGUGGAUGACGUGAAGCAGGAACUCGGGGUAGGGCU